AGUAUAAUAUACAACAUGUCUUGUAUAUGAUCAGGAAUAAGGCCUGAUUGUUUCUACCAAGCUGCCGUAAAUAGCUUGACUACAAGGAGUUUUUUGAUAAAU
rnacentral:ncRNA from 2 species